rnacentral:rRNA from 1 species
GACGAACGCUGGCGGCGUGCCUAAUACAUGCAAGUCGAACGCAGUGGGGACGGGUGAGUAACCCGUGGGUAACCUCCCAUCAGAGGGGAUAACACUUGGCAACAGGUGCUAAACCGAUACUGAUGGAUGGACCCGCGGUGCAUUGGCUAGUUGGUGAGCCAACGGCUCACCAAGGCCCAGAUGAAUAGCCGACCUGAGCGGGUGAUCGGCCACACUGGGACUGAGAAACGGCCCGGACUCCUACGGGAGGCAGCAGUGGGGAAUCUUCGGCAAUGGACGAAAGUCUGACCGGGCAACGCCGCGGGAGUGAAGAGGGUUUUCGGAUCGUAAAACUCUGUUGUUAGAGAAGCGGUAUCUAACCAGAAAGCCACGGCUAACUACGUGCCAGCAGCCGCGGUAAUAC